GAACAUGGCCACACCACCCUGAAAGUGCCUGAUCUCAAAAGCGAUACAGGGUUUGGCCUGGUUAGUACCUGGAUGGGAGACCGCCUGGAAAUACCAGGUGUCAUAGGCC
rnacentral:rRNA from 1 species